GUCCCGCACACCCCGCGGACCCAAAGCAGUACAACCCGUGUCCCCGCCCACAAGGGGAGAAGGGGCGGGGCCACGGCCGCGGGCCUUUAGUCCCAGCCCGCCCCGCCCCUUUCUCCACCACCGCACGCGCGCCGGCCCCGCCUCUGAUCGGCGGGACUAGGGCCCGCCCCUCCGUGCGCACCGGGACUACGCUCUCCUCCCCCUCCCGCACUGAGUGCGGCUCCGCUCCGCCCCCCACAGCCACGCACGGGAAGCCGAGGCUCCAAUACUAUUGGAGGAAGAAGGGUACCUCGUCACAUCUCAUUGGAGAGUCUCACAUAUCCCUCCCCAUACCGCCCCAGCCACAGGCCUAACAAAUCGGCUCCCGCCUCCGCCGGUUCCCGCAUUGGAAGACUACCUUUGCUUCUCUCAUAGCCCUAGGAAGGAGCCGCCAUUGGACACGGCGCCGGUCCAGGAAGGAGACCAUUCCGCCCUGCGCGAGGAUGCUGAACCUUAGCAGUCCUUUUGUGGAAUGUUUACACUGGAGACUGAAGCUCAGCGUUCCAAGGCCGGGACCGGAGAUGGCGCGCAGCGCAGCGGUCGAAACCGGAGGCUUUGAGAUUUGAAAAGGAAAAGGCAGUAGUAUUACCACCAUUGGAGGAUUAACCAAAACAAUGACAGAAAGCCUCGUCCUUCCUACCCACUUAUUUUUACACUUUCACGGUCUUCUAAACACAGCCAUCUGGAGCACUCAGCAGCUACUUUCAGCAAGCCGACUCCAAAAUUAAUGUCUGGAGCUCUAAUCUGAUACAAAAAACCCAGAUAUUACUAGCCAGUCGCCAGAGCCGGCUGCAUACUGUGACACUGGGACAACCAGAAUCCGCAGCCCUCAGGGGGCGGAGAUAACCCAGCGGAGGCCUUUAAAUGUCACCGCCUGGGCAAGCCUCCGGAAGGCGGAGCAUGAGAGAAAAAAAAAUGUAUUCCAGGUCGGCCGGGUAGAUCCAGGGACAUUUUAAACUGGAGGAAGGGAUGCAGAAAAGCUCACACAGACCACUGUAUAAAUAAACCUUGAGUGUGCAUUCACAUUCAGAUAACGAGUAAAAA